rnacentral:tRNA from 1 species
GGUAUAGCUCAAGUGGUAGAGCGCAUGCUUAGCACGCAUGAACUCCUGGGUUCAAACCCCGAAACUGCCA